UACAGGGGGGGCAAGCGUUGUUCGGAAUUACUGGGCGUAAAGGGCUCGUAGGCGGCCAACUAAGCCACACGUGAAAUCCCCAGGCUUAACCUGGGAACUGCGUGUGAUACUGGAUGGCUUGAAUCCGGGAGAGGGAUGCGGAAUUCCAGGUGUAGCGGUGAAAUGCGUAGAUAUCUGGAGGAACACCGGUGGCGAAGGCGGCAUCCUGGACCGGUAUUGACGCUGAUGAGCGAAAGCCAGGGGAGCAAACGGG
rnacentral:rRNA from 1 species